rnacentral:tRNA from 1 species
GGACCCGUAGCCUAGCCUGGUAACUUUAACCAAAGUCGCAUCAAAAGCAUUCAAGAUUGGGCAAAUAAGGCACCAGCCUUCUAAGCUGGGGAUCGUGAGUUCAAAUCUCACCGGGUCCG